rnacentral:lncRNA from 1 species
AGAUUCAAAUUUUACUGCACUGCCCCUGUCGCAGAAGUUCCUGGGGAGGCAGGGCGGCAGCUCCCACCCGCCAUCCCAAGCCGCCGAAGAAUUCCCCAGAGCUAAGGCAGACGCACUUAGCUUUCUUUUCUUUGAGGGAGAAGGGGUUUGCUUUAACUACUUAAUGUCGUUUGUUUAAAUAAAUCACUAGGCUGGUCCCGUUGCGGUGGUGUUUGCAGCUAAUUGGUCACAGCCAGAGAUUUGUUUCUUCUCCACUCGCACUGUGUCACUUGACUAGCUUUAA